rnacentral:lncRNA from 1 species
UGACUUGCUUUGGGGAGGCACUACCUACCUCUGUGCAAUCUAUAAGCAUCUCCUGUCCUAGGCUGUGAGCUCCCUGGAUGGGGGAGUGGCUGGGUUAACUUUAGUGAGUCUCUACUGUAUGCACUGGGCAUCCACACCCACCAUCUCAGUCCAUGUGAACAACACGUGGAAGGCAGUGACUUUGAUCUGUUUUGAGCAUUGCUGCAACUCCACAACAGAAAACACACAGUAGGUACUAAUAAAUCUGCGGACUCACGGACAAACCAAAUGAAUGAACCUGCCCAACAGCCCUGAGGUGGAAAUUAACCCACCUGACAGAAGAAAGCUAACUUCAGAAGGAGACUUGCCCAAGAUUACACAGCUUGAAAGUGCCAGAAUUACCUCUAGUCCUCAGUUCCCAUUAAUACGACAGAGGCCAUAACACUUCAUCCUAAGGGAAAGAGGGGACUAGGUCACACGGGCCCUGAAAUCCGUUCCAAGACACCCCUGUCCCUGCAGAACAAUCCCUCCAAGAAUUAGUUCUCUCCGCUAUGAAAUGGGAGCAAAAGGCCGGGCAUGGUGGCUCACGCCUGUAGUCCCCGCACUUUGGGAGGCAGAGGCAGGCGGAUCACCUGAGGUCAGGAGUUCGAGACUAGCCUGGCCAACAUGGUGAAACCCCAUCUCUACUAAAAAUACAAAAAUUAUCUGGGCGUGGUGGCGUGCGCCUGUAAUCCCAGCUACCCUGGAGGCUGAGGCAGGAGAAUCGUUUAACCCAGGAGGCAGAGGUUGCAGUGAGCCAAGAUUGCGCCACUGCACUCCAGCCUGGUCAACAAGAGCAAAACUCCAUCUCAAAAAAUAAAUAAAUAAAAUAAAAUAAAAAUAAAUAAAAUGGAAGCAAAAAAAGGUCCCCGCUUUGCCUCCUUCCUGGGGCUACUGGGAGAGGCAUGUGGAAUGAGGCGGUGAUCUCUUUGAGAGGCACAGUCCCAAUCUCUGAAUCUGCCUGGCCCUUCUCCAGGCAGGCCCCAUGUGGUCUCUGCCUUGGAGGCUCCUAUGACAUAG